GGAGAGAUGGCCGAGUGGUUGAAGGCGCACGCCUGGAAAGUGUGUGUACCUCAAAAGGGUACCGCGGGUUCGAAUCCCGCUCUCUCCGCAA
rnacentral:tRNA from 1 species